rnacentral:misc_RNA from 1 species
GAGACUGAGGAAAGGCGGAGGAAAAAAUUAGAAGACCUGAAGAGUUUAGAAAAUUCACAUUGCGAUUACUACAACAUGAAGCUAAGAAUGCAAGCUGAGAUUGCUGGUUUGCUGGAGAGAAUGGAGACCACAAAGCAGCAAUGGGUGUAAUUUAAUCCUGUUUUCCCCUUCCUUUUUUUUUUAUUUAUUUUGUUGACAGAGAUUAACAUGCAGUGUGUAACUUGUUUACAUCUUCACCAACCAUUGACUUAAGAGUGUUUCUUCAAAUGCUAAGAAUAACCAGAGAAAAAAUUUUUUGUUCUUUGUAUAGUUCAAAAAAA